UGGCUAGUGGGAGUUGAAAGAUGUUUAGCAAUUUUAUCUAUUGAAAAAGAUGUUUUAGAAAUGCUAGAAACAAAUGAGAUUAUAAAUGACCUUGCAAGUCAAAAAUCUUGAAGAAAUCAUUUUGUAUAAUAAAAAAAAUAAUUUAUUUAUUUAUACAUAAUUGCCAUAUUGUAUUUUUAUUAUAAUAAAUAAAGGGUCCAUUUUUUAUAGUUCGCCCCGGGCCCUAUUUUUGUCAGGAUCGGCCCUG
rnacentral:lncRNA from 1 species